rnacentral:rRNA from 1 species
GAUGAACGCUGGCGGCGUGCCUAAUACUUGCAAGUCGAGCGAACAGACGAGGAGCUUGCUCCUCUGACGUUAGCGGCGGACGGGUGAGUAACACGUGGAUAACCUACCUAUAAGACUGGGAUAACUUCGGGAAACCGGAGCUAAUACCGGAUAAUAUAUUGAACCGCAUGGUUCAAUAGUGAAAGACGGUUUUGCUGUCACUUAUAGAUGGAUCCGCGCCGCAUUAGCUAGUUGGUAAGGUAACGGCUUACCAAGGCAACGAUGCGUAGCCGACCUGAGAGGGUGAUCGGCCACACUGGAACUGAGACACGGUCCAGACUCCUACGGGAGGCAGCAGUAGGGAAUCUUCCGCAAUGGGCGAAAGCUUGACGGAGCAACGCCGCGUGAGUGAUGAAGGUCUUCGGAUCGUAAAACUCUGUUAUUAGGGAAGAACAAAUGUGUAAGUAACUAUGCACGUCUUGACGGUACCUAAUCAGAAAGCCACGGCUAACUACGUG